GGAAUUAUAGCUCGAAGGUCGAGCAGGAGACUGUUAAUCUCUCGGCGAAGGUUCGAUUCCUUCUAAUUCCG
rnacentral:tRNA from 1 species